rnacentral:rRNA from 1 species
AACGAACGCUGGCGGCAGGCUUAACACAUGCAAGUCGAGCGCCCCGCAAGGGGAACGGCAGACGGGUGAGUAACGCGUGGGAAUCUAACCAACUCUACGGAAUAACGCAAGGAAACGCGUGCCAAUACCGUAUACGUCCUUCGGGAGACAGAUUUAUCGUAGCUGGAUGAGACCGCGUUGGAUUAGCUAGUUGGUGGGGUAAAGGCCUACCAAGGCGACGAUCCAUAGCUGGUAUGAGAGGAUGAUCAACCACACUGGGACUGAGACACGGCCCAGACUCCUACGGGAGGCAGCAGUGGGGAAUAUUGGGCAAUGGGCGCAAGCCUGAUCCAGCCAUGCCGCGUGAGUGAUGAAGGCCCUAGGGUUGUAAAGCUCUUUCACCGGUGAAGAUAAUGACGGUAACCGGAGAAGAAGCCCCGGCUAACUUCGUGCCAGCAGCCGCCGCGGUAA